ACACCUUCCGGCUACAAGAGUGGCGGGAGUUUUACCCAGAUUGUUGUCGAGGUUGGUUGUUUACAGCGAAUUAAGUGUUGAUCCGUGCAAUAGUUUGGUGUAAAAUUGACAAAGCAAUGACAAUGAACGGCGAUGGAGUGCAUGGACUGAACGGAGAGACGGUGGCCCUAUCUGAAGCUAAACACAUCAAUGGCACUCCUAGCAAGUCAAAAAUAGCCUGUGAAAACGGCGAGGCAGACAUCCACGCUGCCAAGCGAAAUGGAACUAAGAGAAGAACCCCAUCUGAUACGUUCUCCUUCACUGCCGAACCUACCAUCGAUGACAUACGACGGAUGCAAGCGGAAUUUACUGACGAGCGAGACUGGAACCAGUUCCACCAACCCCGCAACCUCCUGCUAGCUAUGGUCGGAGAAGUGGGCGAGGUAUCUGAGCUUUUCCAGUGGCGUGGCGAGGUGACUGAAGGACUUCCCGGCUGGACCGACUCCGAGCGCGAGCACCUGGCACAUGAACUCAGCGACGUCCUCAUCUACCUAGUUGAGUUGGCCGAGAAAUGUCAUAUCGAUUUACCCCAAGCAGUGCUGCGCAAAAUGGCCCUAAAUAGGCUGAAGUACCCAGCCAGCAAGGUGCAUGGCUCGUCUAAGAAGUACACCGAAUACAAGGACUGAGCGAGUGCAUGCUGCCAUGCCCAAAUGGCGCAAUGAACACACCCCUGCAUUUACAAAGUAGACGAGAACUGAAAAAUACUGUUCAACUUCAGUUAAUGGCAAUGGGUAAUGUUUAUACAAUCUUGUAUUUAGGGCACUACUGUAUCUCAAUAGUUGGUCAAACUGCCCUUAGCUGCUUUUAGUUUUAUAAAGUGCGUUUUAAAUCCAGUGUUUUUCUUUAACUAUAUGGGUGUUCAUCUUUUGACUGACCUCUGAUGCUUUUUUCGUUUUGACUGUUCCCCAAAGUCAAAUUGUAAGAAGUCCAUUUUAUUUUUCAUAGUAUGAGUAACUACAUUUAAAUCUCUUAAAUCCAUAUUGUUGUCAAUGAUCGAUGGAAGCUAUGUUCUUUUGUUGCUUUAAAUUCAAUGCAUGUGUGCGACUGAUAGAAUCUUCUGCCCAAAAGUAAAAGUGCCUUCAACUAUACUUGCUGUCCUGCAGAUGCUAUGUAAUUUAUGUAUAUUGACUCUGUAAUGCAUUUAAUCAAUCAGAUGUAAUCACUAUUGCCUUAUUUACUUCCCUGGGAAAUGAGCUACAAAGGGAAAUGGGGAGAUUAGCACACGCACACAACGCUACUAUGGGAGAUGAGGGAAAUUAGUGAGUUACUCUUGUAGCGGUUCAUUUUGAUAAGCAGUCUGUUAAACAGUAGUGUUUCAUGGCCCCAGGCCUAUGGUUAGCGAUCCAAUAUGUAGGCUAGCCAGUGUAUAUUUGGACACAUCCCAUGGUUUAAUGAGCUACAAGUAUACUGAAAAAUGCAACAAUUUCAAAGAUGUUACUGAGUUGUAAUUCAUAUGAGGAUAUUAGUUGAUUGAAAUAAAUAAAUUCAUUAGGC